GACGAACCGUACGAACGUUAUUCGGAAUUACUGGGCUUAAAGGGUGCGUAGGCGGCGCAGUAAGUUGGGUGUGAAAUCCCUCGGCUUAACCGAGGAAUUGCGCCCGAAACUACUGUGCUCGAGGGAGAUAGAGGUGAGCGGAACUUAGGGUGGAGCGGUGAAAUGCGUUGAUAUCCUAAGGAACACCGGUGGCGAAAGCGGCUCACUGGAUCUCUUCUGACGCUGAGGCACGAAAGCUAGGGUAGCAAACGGG
rnacentral:rRNA from 1 species